AAGGUAGAGACAUGGAGAAAUGGAGGUGAAGCGCCUAGGUUAAAGGCAAGGGGCCAAGCCAUAGUGCGGUAUGGAGGUCCGAAGUUACAGGUCUUUGGGGCCAAGUCAAGGGCUGCAGGGAGGAAGAGGAGAGAGGAGCUAUGAAAGACCAAGAGCAAGGUGCUAACAGGGUAAUUGUACAGGGAAGCUAGAUAACGGGUCAGAGAUACAGGAGGACCAAGGAAGUCAGAGGGUCGCAGGAGACGGUCAGGGAAGAGGAAGCAAAGGCUGCCAGAAGUGUCACAGGCCAGGGCCCAAGAGCUGAGUUGUGUGUUGCGGGGCGGGGAGAAGCCAAUGGCGGAGGUCCAAGGGUACAAGAGCUGGUUUCAGAGAUUGCCGGCGGGCUUGGGGCCAGAGAGGUGGGAGAGGAGGAGGGGCUGAUCCUAAACGUAUGGUCAGCGGCAGGAAGGCUGUAUACUCAAACCCAACAGAAGGGCCGGGGAAUGGGUUGGGGACAGCCACCUGGCUGCGUGGGCCGGGGGCCAGGGCGAGGGUCGCGGCGGAGGGACCACAAGGCCCCUUGGCUUCCCACUCGGUCCAGGGAGCAAAGCAGCAGCAUCCAGAUCCUCGGUGAGAGGGAAGUGGCCGUGUACAGAGUUUCCCGCGAAGUCGUGUCCGCCUC
rnacentral:lncRNA from 1 species